AUGGGAGGUAUAUUUCUUCUAAAGCUAAAUACCGGCCAGAGACCGAUAGCGAACAAGUAGAGUGAUCGAAAGAUGAAAAGCACUUUGAAAAGAGGGUUAAACAGCACGUGAAAUUGUUAAAAGGGAAGCGCUUGUGACCAGACUUGCGUCCGGUGAAUCACCCAGCUCUCGCGGCUGGGGCACUUCGCCGGCUCAGGCCAGCAUCAGCUCGCUGUCGGGGACAAAAGCUUCAGGAACGUAGCUCUCUUCGGGGAGUGUUAUAGCCUGUUGCAUAAUACCCUUCGGCGGGCUGAGGUACGCGCUCCGCAAGGAUGCUGCAUAGUUA
rnacentral:rRNA from 1 species